rnacentral:rRNA from 1 species
UACGGAGGGUGCAAGCGUUAUCCGGAUUUACUGGGUUUAAAGGGUGUGUAGGCGGGCUAUUAAGUCAGUGGUGAAAUGCUCUUGCUUAACGAGAGAACUGCCGUUGAUACUAAUAGUCUUGAAUGUUGUUGAGGUGGGCGGAAUACAUCAUGUAGCGGUGAAAUGCAUAGAUAUGAUGUAGAACACCAAUUGCGAAGGCAGCUCACUAAACAAAGAUUGACGCUGAGGCACGAAAGCGUGGGGAUCAAACAGG